UGCCAGUGGAUUUCCUCUACUCCCACCUC
rnacentral:piRNA from 1 species